rnacentral:lncRNA from 1 species
CUCAGUUCUAUAAAGAAUUAACUUCCUUUGAGUAAGCCAUCAGGAGAGAGAGAGACACACCAGCUCCUGACAACAGCCCUAGACUCCUCUGAACAAGAUAAUGAGCAUGGAAGAAUCUAUAUUUGGAGCUUGCUUUUGAACAUGGACAAGAAUGCCAAGUCAGCCGCUCCUCGUAGAAGGCAAUGACAAUCUGAGGACACUUCAUGUUCGCCUCCUUUGCCAGCACCAAGUCGGCCUCGUCCGAGUCCUUCCACUUCAUGAGAAACAUUAACUCUCCGCUGCUGUCCGUGGCGCCGAUUAUUCGUUCAGGGUCGAGACCUCUGGCAAAGCCCCUUGGUUUGUCAGCAGCAUCUCUCUUCUUCUUCGAUUUGCUAUCAUCAGAUUCACUGUCAGAUAAAGAUUUCCUUUUUGUACCAUCUUUUUCUUUACCAGCUUUUUGAGAAUUAAGAAAUGCUUCAAUUAAUUCUGGACAAUCUAAAUUUUCUUCUGGUUCCCA